rnacentral:rRNA from 1 species
AGAGUUUGAUCCUGGCUCAGGACGAACGCUGGCGGCGUGCUUAACACAUGCAAGUCGAACGGUGAUCGGGGAGCUUGCUCCUUGUGAUCAGUGGCGAACGGGUGAGUAACACGUGAGUAACCUGCCCCAGACUCUGGGAUAACCCCGGGAAACCGGAGCUAAUACCGGAUAUGACUCCUGCCUGCAUGGGCUGGGGGUGGAAAGUUUUUUCGGUCUGGGAUGGGCUCGCGGCCUAUCAGCUUGUUGGUGAGGUAGUGGCUCACCAAGGCGACGACGGGUAGCCGGCCUGAGAGGGCGACCGGCCACACUGGGACUGAGACACGGCCCAGACUCCUACGGGAGGCAGCAGUGGGGAAUAUUGCACAAUGGGCGCAAGCCUGAUGCAGCGACGCCGCGUGAGGGAUGACGGCCUUCGGGUUGUAAACCUCUUUCAGCAGGGAAGAAGCGCAAGUGACGGUACCUGCAGA